rnacentral:rRNA from 1 species
AGUCGAGCGGUAGAGAGGUGCUUGCACCUCUUGAGAGCGGCGGACGGGUGAGUAAAGCCUAGGAAUCUGCCUGGUAGUGGGGGAUAACGCUCGGAAACGGACGCUAAUACCGCAUACGUCCUACGGGAGAAAGCAGGGGACCUUCGGGCCUUGCGCUAUCAGAUGAGCCUAGGUCGGAUUAGCUAGUUGGUGAGGUAAUGGCUCACCAAGGCGACGAUCCGUAACUGGUCUGAGAGGAUGAUCAGUCACACUGGAACUGAGACACGGUCCAGACUCCUACGGGAGGCAGCAGUGGGGAAUAUUGGACAAUGGGCGAAAGCCUGAUCCAGCCAUGCCGCGUGUGUGAAGAAGGUCUUCGGAUUGUAAAGCACUUUAAGUUGGGAGGAAGGGCAUUAACCUAAUACGUUAGUGUUUUGGCGUUACCGACAGAAUAAGCACCGGCUAACUCUGUGCCAGCAGCCGCGGUAAUACAGAGGGUGCAAGCGUUAAUCGGAAUUACUGGGCGUAAAGCGCGCGUAGGUGGUUCGUUAAGUUGGAUGUGAAAUCCCCGGGCUCAACCUGGGAACUGCAUUCAAAACUGUCGAGCUAGAGUAU